UUUACCAUUGGUUCCUUAACGAUCCGAUUAUUUGAAUUAAAAUUCCCAAUUCGAAACCCUAAUAAUCAUACACAUAUCACAAAUCGCCAAUAUACAAUUCUUGGUUUCCUUCGAAAAGUCACGACAACUCAAAGCUGCACGUGCACCGGCGCUACGUGUCUGAUCAGUCAAAGCUGCCGGUUUAGUUUCUUUUUCAAUCUCUUUUAUUGAAUUUACUCUUGUUUCUCCCUCUCAUGCAAUCACAACCUAUUUCGAUAUGAAACUGCAAGUUGUUUUAUUUAUUUUUGAGUCAAUGUUAUUAGGGCCGAACAUUUUCUGUUGAAAUUUUUAUGUUAUGGACGGUGAGGGCUGGGAAACUUCUUCAGUAAGCGACAAUGAGGUUGAUUUUCAGUAUAGGGACGACGAAGAACAUCAAUAUGCAUGUGGUUCUGUGACCAAGUUACAGUUCAGGAAAGAAAUUUCCAAGGCUCGUUGGGAUGAGGAAAUGGGAAUGGCUGAGGUUUUAGAGAAGAAGGGCAAAAUGUGGACAACAACAGGAAUUAUUCGUGGUGGAAAGACAUAUUGCUUGAUUGAGGAAACUUUGUUUUUGGCAGAAAUAGGUGCUUUGAAACUUUUUGAUGAUGAUAAUGCAAAUACACCUAUGUCUCUGGAAGAUUUAUAUCAAAAAGUUGCUGGCAGAAAGCACAGCUGCGGAUGGGAAUGUUAUGAGGUUUAUAGACACCUUAAAUCUCUUGGUUAUAUUGUUGGGCGGCAUGGCAUCCCUUGGACUGAAAAAGGUGGUAACAAAAACAAUGAACUUGUUUCUCUUCAAGGAAACUCUGAAAGAAAUGAAAUGGGCGAAUCACUACAUGAAGAUUAUGUUGCUGAACUGUUCAAUAAUAUGCAUAUUAAUGCAGUGAAGCUGGCUUUUGAUAUCUAUCUUCCAAAUAGCAAAUUUAAAAAAUCUUCUCCCGUUGAUCCUAGCUUUGUGCUUUGCGUAACAAGUGGUUAUCCUCCAUCCAAAGCAGACGCUGAAACUCUUGAAAGGCUGUUGGGCAGUAUUCCGCUGAAGUUCUGUCAUGUAGAACAUGGGCGUGUUAGUUUCUUCUCCUUCAGCAUGGUGGACCUUCCUGUCUUACCCUGAUCUUUCUUAAAGGAAUCAGUGUUAUAGCUCUGCAUGACUUAAGGCUUUGAUAGAGAAGUGGAGACUGAUUCUAUAGGAUAUAAGGGACAAUCCAGAUUCUUGACUAAUACAGGCUUCCUCCCAAGUCCCAAGUAGUAGUAGGAGGGUACCAUAUGGAACAGAGACAAGGGGAGCACAGAGUCUUUGGACAGAAUAGUCCCAACAAAUCCUUCUGGAACCUCAAUCCUCCUAUCAACUUUUGCAAAAAUGUUUCCUUCAUCAGCUUCUCUGAAUAACAAGAUGAAUUUCAUCUCGCUUUUCUACAACCCUGUUGCGAGUUCUUUGAUCUGUUCAUCAGUCAUCAUGGUUAUAGUUCCAAAAGAAAUAUAUAUAACAGAUUUGGUGCUUGUCUGUCUACCCAUUUAGGUAUUCAUUAUUGGUAUUUCUGUUCCUACACUCACUGAUCUUAACUCGGUUCAAUGGUCCUAUUGCCCGUCUUUUCUUUUCUCUGUUGACAUAUCUUCACUAGAAGAUCGAUGUAGCUAGCAUCUAUCAAUCUACAUAUGUUGUGGAGUUCUCCAGCUGGAAAAUCCAUGAAAUGAAAUUGAUGUGUCAUAUAAUCUGUGAACUCAGGCUGAAGCAGCCAUCAACUGAUGGAAGCCUCUCUUGUAUCUCAGCUUAGACUGGGAAAGGUUUACCUAUUUCUUCUCAUAGGUUGUAGAAAAAAGUGAAAGCACAUGUACUUUGGAAACAGUAGGCUUCUGCAUUAGAGAUUGUGGCUGCAUCCUGAAUGAUGGAUGUCAUUUAUCAAGUCAUGUAUGAUGACUAUUCUUCUGGCUUUUACAGAGAGCACAUUACAGGCUUACAUAGAUGCAAGCAGGCAUCAAAGGAUGGCUGGAGAUGCUCAGGAAUUUUUCUGGAGGGAUUGGGGUCAGGUGGAAAGAGGAAAGGAGGAAUUGAAUCUGGUAAGAAUGCUUUUGAUGAAAGCCAUGGUCACGAAGCUUGACCUGAUGAUCAUGUAUGGUGGAACUGACAUAAUCAACUGGGAUUUGUGGGAUGAAA